CGGGAGGUUGAGACACUGCUGCCUUUCAAGUCCAUUUACUGUAGUUGUGCAUCAGGUCUUAUCAUCAGAACGAAGUUCAACGUGUCAUCAAACCAUAAAACAAUUAGAGUUGCACUGUUCAUGAAACGUCUUCCAAAUAUUUACUGACGUCAUACUUGUUUUUACUAAGUGUUAUGUCUGUGUAUUAUUCUCAUUUGGCUCUUAUCUAUUCGUGUUGUUCCCUUUUUGUGGUGUUGUGGUUUCUCUCUCGUCUUUGGUGUUUUUUCUCAUUCUCAUUCUCAUUUUGUUUCUCCUUUUGGUGAGAUUUUUGCUCCGCCGGCUCGUUUGUGCCGUUGAUCGCACCUCCAGCCUCGGUGUUUGGAGUGAGGGGGUACUUUUACAGGGAUGCGCGUCUACUUUUAGCGGUACCUCAUGAUAUCCCACCCCCCGCUGCGCGCCUGAAACUUAGAAAGGCGCAGGUUAAAAUAGCCCUCGCCUCGUGAAGCCUGUACAGACGCAAUGCGCCUGCGCAACCGAGCUGUGGCGCGCGCCGCUCUCUCCAGCGGCUGCAUCGGUGCGUAAAGCGCGUGGGCAACAGGUACCGUGAGUCCGGACCACUGAGGCUCUGAACAUCGACUUUACCCACACAUGUGUUCGCGUCUGACGGUCUAAAACUUCCCCGGACGCCCGCGUCCACCAACAGGGUCAGAACUCGUGGGAGCCGAACUCCAGAACCGGGACGGGACCUCCGCCAUGCCUCAGUCGCCAGCGUGUUGAGGUCCCCGCAUUGUUUGUGUCAGACACUCAAGGGCGAUAACAUCACAUUCGUUGGAGUUGCCCCGCACACGAGGCGCGCAUCACCCCCACGGGGUCUGACUUUGGGAGCAGGUUUGAGGCCGUCUCAUUCCUGCGCUCAUACCAGGCGUAAACAUGCAAACAAACAGCGGGCUUUAUUAAUCGCACUGGAAGGCGUGUGCCUGGCUGUGGGCAGACAGCGGGUGUAGGUGGUGGGUGAUACACCUGGAGACUGUCAAAGGGAAGUAACGAGAAGAAGAUGGAAAAAACACACAAAGUGACCAAAAAUAGCCUGAAUGUGAGUAAGGCUGAAACAACAAAUGUCGUUGUUUGUUGUGUCUUCUACGUGGGAUAAGUUGAGUUUUCCUGUUUACUGUUCACUGAGCCGUGAUUGGUCAGCUGC
rnacentral:lncRNA from 1 species